rnacentral:rRNA from 1 species
UAGGGAAUCUUCCACAAUGGACGCGAGUCUGAUGGAGCAACGCCGCGUGAGUGAAGAAGGGUUUCGGCUCGUAAAGCUCUGUUGUUAAAGAAGAACGUGGGUAAGAGUAACUGUUUACCCAGUGACGGUAUUUAACCAGAAAGCCACGGCUAACUACGUGCCAG